UGGUGUAGUGGUUAGCACGCUCGACGCGUAUUCGAGAGGUCCGUGGUUCGAGUCCCGG
rnacentral:tRNA from 1 species